GACGAACGCUGGCGGCGUGCUUAACACAUGCAAGUCGAACGGAAAGGCCCUGCUUUUGUGGGGUGCUCGAGUGGCGAACGGGUGAGUAACACGUGAGUAACCUGCCCUUGACUUUGGGAUAACUUCAGGAAACUGGGGCUAAUACCGGAUAGGAGCUCCUGCUGCAUGGUGGGGGUUGGAAAGUUUCGGCGGUGGGGGAUGGACUCGCGGCUUAUCAGCUUGUUGGUGGGGUAGUGGCUUACCAAGGCUUUGCCGGGUAGCCGGCCUGCGAGGGUGACCGGCCACAUUGGGACUGAGAUACGGCCCAGACUCCUACGGGAGGCAGCAGUGGGGAAUAUUGCACAAUGGGCGGAAGCCUGAUGCAGCAACGCCGCGUGCGGGAUGACGGCCUUCGGGCUGUAAACCGCUUUCGCCUGUGACGAAGCGUGAGUGACGGUAAUGGGUAAAGAAGCACCGGCUAACUACGUG
rnacentral:rRNA from 1 species